rnacentral:rRNA from 1 species
UCCAGACUCCUACGGGAGGCAGCAGUGGGGAAUAUUGCGCAAUGGGGGCAACCCUGACGCAGCAACGCCGCGUGAUUGAAGAAGGCCUUCGGGUUGUAAAGAUCUUUAAUUGGGGACGAAACAAAUGACGGUACCCAAAGAAUAAGCUCCGGCUAACUACGUGCCAGCAGCCGCGGUAAUACGUAGGGAGCAAGCGUUAUCCGGAUUUACUGGGUGUAAAGGGCGAGUAGGCGGGCUGGCAAGUUGGGAGUGAAAUCCCGGGGCUUAACCCCGGAACUGCUUUCAAAACUGCUGGUCUUGAGUGAUGGAGAGGCAGGCGGAAUUCCGUGUGUAGCGGUGAAAUGCGUAGAUAUACGGAGGAACACCAGUGGCGAAGGCGGCCUGCUGGACAUUAACUGACGCUGAGGAGCGAAAGCGUGGGGAGCAAACAGGAUUAGAUACCCGUGUAUAG